rnacentral:rRNA from 1 species
AGCGAACGCUGGCGGCAGGCCUAACACAUGCAAGUCGAGCGGGCCCUUUCGGGGGUCAGCGGCGGACGGGUGAGUAACGCGUGGGAACGUGCCCAUCGGUUCGGAACAACCCAGGGAAACUUGGGCUAAUACCGGAUACGUGCGAGAGCAGAAAGAUUUAUCGCCGAUGGAUCGGCCCGCGUCUGAUUAGCUUUGUUGGCGAGGUAACGGCUCACCAAGGCGACGAUCAGUAGCUGGCUGAGAGGAUGAUCAGCCACACUGGGACUGAGACACGGCCCAGACUCCUACGGGAGGCAGCAGUGGGGAAUAUUGGACAAUGGGCGCAAGCCUGAUCCAGCCAUGCCGCGUGAGUGAUGAAGGCCCUAGGGUUGUAAAGCUCUUUCGCACGCGACGAUAAUGACGGUAGCGUGAGAAGAAGCCCCGGCUAACUUCGUGCCAGCCGCCGCU